CAGCCCCUCCCACAACUUCAGGCCAUGCCUUUCAAUAUAUAUAUAUAUAUAUAUAUAUAUAUAUAUAUUAAAAUACACUUAGAUCGUGUAUGUAUGUGCGUAUAUUUAUAUAUAUAUGGAAGGCGGAGACUGUAGUUGUGGGAGGGAAUA